rnacentral:rRNA from 1 species
GCGAGUGAGAGGGAAGAGCCCAAGAUUGAAAGCUGGCGCCUUCGGCGUCCGCAUUGUAAUCUCAAGAAGUGUUUUCCGCUUCGGACCAUGCCUAAGUCCCUUGGAAAAGGGCAUCAUAGAGGGUGAUAAUCCCGUACAUGGCAUGGAGCGCCCGAAGCUUUGUGAUACGCUUUCUAAGAGUCGAGUUGUUUGGGAAUGCAGCUCAAAAUGGGUGGUAAAUGCCAUCUAAGGCUAAAUAUUGGGGAGAGACCGAUAGCGAACAAGUACAGUGAUGGAAAGAUGAAAAGAACUUUGAAAAGAGAGUUAAACAGUACGUGAAAUUGCCAAAAGGGAAGGGUAGGAGGUCAGAGAUGCGGCUUUGGAUUCAGCCUUGCUUUUGCAUGGUGUUUUUCCUUGGUUGCAGGCCAACGUCGGUUUUGGGCACUGGAGAAGGGUGAGAGGAACGUGGCAUCCCUCGGGAUGUGUUUAUAGCCUCUCACUGGAUACAGCGACCGAGACCGAGGACAGCAGCGUACUCGCAAGAGCGGGCCUUCGGGCACCUUUACGCUUAGGGCGUUGGCAUAAUGGCCCUCUACCACCC